GCAUCCCGGAAGCUCUGAGCCGAGUCCUGUCCCGUCCGUGUCCCCUCCGCCCACUUUCUCCUCCUGUCCAGCAGGCAGUGGGUGUGCGCGGGGGUGCUCCACACUUCUUGUGCCCUUUGGUCUCCAAGCCCCACUGGUCCACAGGCCGGGUGUCCAAGCAUCCCCACGUGAGUGUUCCGACUCCAUGGCCCCCGAUCUCCACACGUGGACCUGCCAGGAGGUGUCCAGCCCCGAGGUUUUUGCUUUGUUUAGACUCACCUCUUCACUACAGCUCAUCUUCCGAGAACAGCACCUGUCUUCUCUGCUCCCCACCUUCUGAUGCUCUCACUUGGUACUUCUCAUCUUUCGCAUACUGCACUCUCCCCGUUCUAUCUCCGGACCACCCUCCCCAUGACUUCUGACAGACUCCUGCAUCUAUGGAGUGAGGAGCAUCUCCACGUGGGCGUGGGCAAAGGAAGCCUGGGAGGAGCU